rnacentral:rRNA from 1 species
GAUGAACGCUGGCGGCGUGCCUAAUACAUGCAAGUCGAGCGAACGGACGAGGAGCUUGCUCCUCUGACGUUAGCGGCGGACGGGUGAGUAACACGUGGAUAACCUACCUAUAAGACUGGGAUAACUUCGGGAAACCGGAGCUAAUACCGGAUAAUAUUUUGAACCGCAUGGUUCAAUAGUGAAAGACGGUUUUGCUGUCACUUAUAGAUGGAUCCGCGCCGCAUUAGCUAGUUGGUAAGGUAACGGCUUACCAAGGCAACGAUGCGUAGCCGACCUGAGAGGGUGAUCGGCCACACUGGAACUGAGACACGGUCCAGACUCCUACGGGAGGCAGCAGUAGGGAAUCUUCCGCAAUGGGCGAAAGCCUGACGGAGCAACGCCGCGUGAGUGAUGAAGGUCUUCGGAUCGUAAAACUCUGUUAUUAGGGAAGAACAAAUGUGUAAGUAACUGUGCACGUCUUGACGGUACCUAAUCAGAAAGCCACGGCUAACUACGUG